rnacentral:rRNA from 1 species
UACGUAGGGGGCAAGCGUUGUCCGGAAUUAUUGGGCGUAAAGAGCGUGUAGGCGGCCAGAUAAGUCCGCUGUGAAAUCUCGAGGCUCAACUUCGAGCUGUCGGUGGAAACUAUCUGGCUAGAGUCCGGAAGAGGAGAAUGGAAUUCCUGGUGUAGCGGUGAAAUGCGUAGAUAUCGUAAGGAAGACCAGUGGCGAAGGCGGGUCUCUGGACAGUUCCUGACGCUGAGGCACGAAGGUCAGGGGAGCAAACGGG